GAUGAACGCUAGCUACAGGCUUAACACAUGCAAGUCGAGGGGUAACGAGAGGAAAGCUUGCUAUCCUUGUCGACGACCGGCGCACGGGUGAGUAACGCGUAUCCAACGUGCCCCCAACUAGGGAAUAACCUUGCGAAAGUAAGACUAAUACCCUAUAAUUUCCUCAGAUGCCAUCUGACGAGGAAUAAAGAUUUAUCGGUUGUGGAUGGUGAUGCGUCUGAUUAGCUUGUUGGCGGGGUAACGGCCCACCAAGGCAACGAUCAGUAGGGGUUCUGAGAGGAAGGUCCCCCACAUUGGAACUGAGACACGGUCCAAACUCCUACGGGAGGCAGCAGUGAGGAAUAUUGGUCAAUGGGCGGAAGCCUGAACCAGCCAAGUAGCGUGCAGGAUGACGGCCCUAUGGGUUGUAAACUGCUUUUAUACAGGAAUAAAGUUAGCCACGUGUGGUUAUUUGUAGGUACUGUAUGAAUAAGGACCGGCUAAUUCCGUGCCAGCCGCCGCAGUAA
rnacentral:rRNA from 1 species